UACGAAGGGUGCAAGCGUUACUCGGAAUUACUGGGCGUAAAGCGUGCGUAGGCGGUUUGUUAAGUCUGACGUGAAAUCCCCGGGCUCAACCUGGGACGUGCGUUGGAAACUGGCGAUCUAGAGUACGGUAGAGGGUGGUGGAAUUCCCGGUGUAGCAGUGAAAUGCGUAGAGAUCGGGAGGAACACUCGUGGCGAAGGCGGCCACCUGGACCAGUACUGACGCUGAGGCACGAAAGCGUGGGGAGCAAACAGGAUUAGAUACCCCCGUAGUCCU
rnacentral:rRNA from 1 species